CCCUGAGGCUCCAGGACAGCCAUCUGCAAGAUGAUCACUGAGGCUCUGCAAAUCUUCUAAAAUAAUCGGCAACCCCAACUCUGAUCUACAUCUUUCUCACUGACAUUUUCUCAUUUGGAAGAUGUGGUGUAAAUUUGAAAUUGCCACGUUGAGAGAGCAGGAUUGAACCUGCACCGCAGCUAUGGCAACGCCUGAACCACUGCGCCGCAAGGGAAAUUCCGGUUUCUUCCGAUUUCAAACUGGAUUUAUAAGGAGACCUUUCGGAUAUCUUGGCAUUUGAAUAAAGACCCGUGAGAGGCUGGCAAGGGACGCAGACUCUGAGGGCCGAGACCCAAGGAAGCAGGAGGGAGUGUGAGGGCCUCGCCUGUGUUUCAAGGACUGGGAAGUCUAGAGAGCAGACAACAGGGGGAGGGCAGAGACCGGGAGAGCGUCUCCGACAGGAUGGGAAGACGGGAAUGGACGGUUCCUGGACCACGUGACUGCCCCGAAGUGAUGUUUUGAGUUGGGUGGUGGCUAGUGAAUGCUGAGGAAGAAGUCUUUAACCUACACCUGAACUGACCCAGUCCUGAACAACAGAGAUCACAGAGACAUUCCUAAAGCUGAGCUGAUUUAGUGGCAGCAGGAACUGGGAGCUGGAUCUGCCUAGAACGUAAGUG